GACGAAUGCUGGCGGCGUGCUUAACACAUGCGAGUCGAACGGAAAGGCCCUGCUUUUGUGGGGUGCUCGAGUGGCGAACGGGUGAGUAACACGUGAGUAACCUGCCCUUGACUUUGGGAUAACUUCAGGAAACUGGGGCUAAUACCGGAUAGGAGCUCCUGCUGCAUGGUGGGGGUUGGAAAGUUUCGGCGGUUGGGGAUGGACUCGCGGCUUAUCAGCUUGUUGGUGGGGUAGUGGCUUACCAAGGCUUUGACGGGUAGCCGGCCUGAGAGGGUGACCGGCCACAUUGGGACUGAGGUACGGCCCAGACUCCUACGGGAGGCAGCAGUGGGGAAUAUUGCACAAUGGGCGGAAGCCUGAUGCAGCAACGCCGCGUUCGGGAUGACGGCCUUCGGGUUGUAAACCGCUUUCGCCUGUGACGAAGCGUGAGUGACGGUAAUGGGUAAAGAAGCACCGGCUAACUACGUG
rnacentral:rRNA from 1 species